GCGAUCCUAGAUUUAAUUUUUAUCUAUUUUUAUCUGUAUUUUAAGUUUAACUAUCUAGGCUAGUGCUGAGUGCGUGCAUGGUUCCCGCCAGCUCUUUUACUUUAGAAGUUAGUUUGUACGAGUCAUGACCUGGCUCUAUAAAUAGAACAGGUGCGGUCAGUUCUUUCUUUUUUUUCCGGUGUUGACCGUCGGUCAGUGCAACCAUGUAGAAGAAAUAAGUGUUUAAUUGUUGCGCUUGUAUUCAGCUGGGACCGCCUGCUAUAAUUCCUGCUGUCGUUAAGUCUGCUGUUGUUAGUCUACUGCCUGUAGGCUGUUGUUAGUCUACUGCCAUUAGUCUGCCAUCGCCUCCCUGUACCUUUUUUUGUUAUAUUUUAUUAAUUCUAAGCUUAGGUCUAGGGUAGUAAUAGUUAGAUAGUUGGUUUGGUUAGUCUGUUAGUGUUUGUAGAUUUAGAGGGUUUUAGUUAGUUGCUGAGUUCAGUUGUAGUGUUAGUGUAGCUCUAUAUGUUAUAUUUUAUUAUUGAUUUAUUUGUGUAUGUAAAUAAAGUUUCUUUUUGUUUUAUUUAUCCUAAAGUAAAAGUUUCGUUAUUGCUUUCUUUUAGUUAGUUAGUUUAGUUUAGUUUAGUUUAAUUGUGCUGUCUGGUUGCUUAGGCGACUCUAGCCCCUUGGUCGCAGACCGAGGUGCACAGAUUGGGCCCACCCAGUAGCGCAAACAUCUGCCUACUGUAUAAAAUUUAAUGUUGAGCAGCAGAAGAGAAUAGGCCACCACACUCGCGCCUGCCUGACCUGGCCACAUUUUUGGUGUCAGAAGUGGGAUCUGUGCUUAAGUAAUCAGACACACAUUGUUUUCUUAGGGAUUAGGUUGUUAGUUUUUUUUUGAGGCUUUUGUUAGGAUUGCAUAGGUUGGUAUUAGUUUUAGGUUUGGAUAGCAGUAGGAAUCAGUGUUGGAGAAUUUAUUUUGUUGUUGGUUGUUAGAAUAUAGGAUAUGGAUAGUUUAGUUUGUUGUUUGAGUUUUGUUUUAUGUAGUGGUCUUCGUUAUGGUCAGUAGUGAGUUGGUUUUAAUGUUACUUGGAGAUGUAGUUCUAGGAAGUUGUUGUAGUGCGUUGUGAGGUAGUUAGUAUUGUUGUUAUGGGUUAGGGUUAGAGUUGGUUAGAGUUGAAGUGUUAGGUUAGGGUGGCAGAAUGGCAGCAGCGGCAGGAAGGAUGCAGCGGUCCCAGGCUGAAUUUGAGGUGCCUCGGAAGAGUGAUCUGAGAGGAGACAAGUCUGCAGCUCUCCCAUGCCUGCGGAGAGGUGUCAGCCCAGUGUUGACGGAUGGCGAGAUGGCAGUUGAAGUCUGGACUGAUGGGUCAUCGCCAAACUUUGUUAUUGAAGGUGUUAAGCGAUACUACCAAAACUUAGACAGCUCCAGCACGGGUUUUUUUUGCAAGUAUUCAUGUACUGGACUGACAGAGGUGCCCCACUUCCACCUCUGUGUUAUAAACAACUGGGCCAGUUUGUCCAAUUAGGACGACUGUCCGCCCAGUUGCAACGUAUGGUUUAAUGGCCCUCACAUCUUGAGGUCGCCACUGAAGAAAGCCUUCCACGUCAUCUUUCUGUAAACCACAUGGAUUUCGCUCCUCACUUACUGGGUGUCCUGUGUCAGCCGCUGGUCAUCUCUACUGGACAGCGGUGGUGGACCGGCCAGAGAUGUAGAAGUCGUCAAGAGCAGAGCAAACCUGUCGUGUCUUUUUCCCUUUUAUUAAAUGUUUUUUAUAUGUUCUUAUCACACUGUUCAUUGUGUGGCUCCUUUUAUACUUUGACUUGUUUUAAUGUAUUUAUGCAUAUUAUUUUUAAUUUGUAUUUAUGCUUUUAUGUAUUUUGAAUAAUGAUUAAUUUUUUUGAGUAUGUUCCAUGGGUGUUUGCAUGUGUUGCAACCCAAUAAGUUUUUUGUAAGUCUUUAUUGGGCUCUCAAAAGCCAAUAUUGUGCUUGGUUGCUGUAGUAAAGUGCUGUUUGUGCAAUUUUUCUAGUCAUGUUAAUUUUCGAUGUUGCCGUCAAGGUACUCGUUAUGUUAUUUGUCUUGGAGGCCAUGACGUAGAUAAAUGUAAUACAUUUUACACAGUAUUUUGUUGUUGCCUUUGGAAGGCAAUGUAAUGUUUUUUUAGUAGACUUUUUUUGAAGUACUUAAGGUACUCAUUAAUGUCAUGUUAGGUUGAAUUGUCUGACAGUGGUACUUUUAUUUUGUAUUUUUCUAUGUCUCACCACCACUGUUGGAUGCCCUGUGUUUUGGUUAUAGCACUGUAACUUCAGGUUGUGUUAUGACACUUUGAGUGUACCAUUUUUUAAUGUUUUGGUCUUUGUGACCAUUGUGAGCCUUCAGUGGCUGGCCAUAAGUCUGUGUGACUAUGGGCCUGUUGAAGCCUUGGUGGCUUUGUACAAGUCUGUGUGACUUUGUUUUAGCCUGUGUGGCUAAGGCACUGAGUUAAGCCUCAUAGAGUUCCUGUUGGUCUGUGUGACUAAGUUUAUCAUGUUUGGCUAGGGCGUCAUUUGCUCUAACCAUGUAGUUUUCGUUAAUUACUUUUUUUGUCGUUCCAUUUUUUUAAAGAUGUCAUGCACUAUAUUUUGUAUUACCUGUAUUUUUAUUGUUUUCUGUUGAAAGCUUUGCCACUUGUGAAGCCAUUUAGUACUGAGAGCUAUGGUUAUAGUUCUCCGUUCUCUUGUAUGAAUUCAUUUUUAUUUUAUUUCUGCUGUAUAUAUUUUGACUUUUUAUCUCUGUAUUUUGUGUAUUUUUAUUUUGCGGGGACGCAAAAGUUUUGAGCGGGGAUGAAUGUGAGCUGGCGAUCCUAGAUUUAAUUUUUAUCUAUUUUUAUCUGUAUUUUAAGUUUAACUAUCUAGGCUAGUGCUGAGUGCGUGCAUGGUUCCCGCCAGCUCUUUUACUUUAGAAGUUAGUUUGUACGAGUCAUGACCUGGCUCUAUAAAUAGAACAGGUGCGGUCAGUUCUUUCUUUUUUUUCCGGUGUUGACCGUCGGUCAGUGCAACCAUGUAGAAGAAAUAAGUGUUUAAUUGUUGCGCUUGUAUUCAGCUGGGACCGCCUGCUAUAAUUCCUGCUGUCGUUAAGUCUGCUGUUGUUAGUCUACUGCCUGUAGGCUGUUGUUAGUCUACUGCCAUUAGUCUGCCAUCGCCUCCCUGUACCUUUUUUUGUUAUAUUUUAUUAAUUCUAAGCUUAGGUCUAGGGUAGUAAUAGUUAGAUAGUUGGUUUGGUUAGUCUGUUAGUGUUUGUAGAUUUAGAGGGUUUUAGUUAGUUGCUGAGUUCAGUUGUAGUGUUAGUGUAGCUCUAUAUGUUAUAUUUUAUUAUUGAUUUAUUUGUGUAUGUAAAUAAAGUUUCUUUUUGUUUUAUUUAUCCUAAAGUAAAA